rnacentral:tRNA from 1 species
GCGGGGAUAGCUCAAGACAGAGCGGCGGCGCUACCCACGCCGCAGGUUGGAGGUAUCGAAUCCUUCCCCCGCUCCA